AUGUUUAUCCACGAGCUCCAUUCAUUCACAGCACACAAAUCAAACUUAGCAUUCCCCACAGCGCCACCGCCGACGAGCUUCUUCUUCUCCUUUCCUCACCCACAGCGCCACCGCCGGCCACUCUAACCGCCGCAGCUACUUUCUCCUUCUUCUCCUCUUCUUUAAACACUGAACCAGUAGAAUACAGCCCCUGUGUCUCUCGUUCGCAGAACAAAACAAGCUCAAACUCCACCACCGCCGCGCCUCUCUUUCCUUUUAUCCCCUUCAGUUCUGGCUCGCAUACCUUCGCGCAAGCCCUAGCUCCGUGGCGACCAAAAUCGGUUCCACCGUCAGCCGCGGUUCCACCUCUCUCUUGCCCCCUGUUCGAACCGAUAUGGUGCGUGAACUAGGGUUUUGGUUUUGUGGCAGUGGUUGUUCAUCGGAGAGACACUGGCGAUGCUCCUAUUCUCAAGCAUUCUAAAUUCAAGUAUUAGUUUGGGAGGGAACUUGACAAUGGUGGAUCUUCCUGGUAUAACUAGGGUUCCUGUUCAUGGCCAGCCUGAAAAUAUCUAUGAUCAGAUCAAGGAUAUUAUCAUGGAGUAUAUUAGGCCUGAAGAGAGCAUUAUUCUGAAUGUUCUUUCUGCUACCGUUGAUUUUACUACUUGUGAAUCCAUAAGAAUGUCUCAGUUUGUGGAUAAAACUGGUUUGAGAACCUUGGCUGUUGUAACAAAGGCUGAUAAGUCUCCUGAAGGCUUGUUGGAGAAGAGGCUAGUUCAAGUUCAAGGCAUGAUCAUAUCCAAAACUCUGUCCGAAAUUGUGAAGGAAAUCAAUGAGAAGCUGACUUACAAGCUGACUUAAUUUCACCAAGAUGCUCAACCAGAAGUUCUCCCUCAAUCACAGCGUUUCGAUGGGGCCUACUGAGAUCCCUUCUCAGUCAACGGAGACUAUUAAGAUUCCUACCGCUAACUAUGAGUUUGGUGCAACCUUCAUUGAUCAUCCCAAGUUGAUGCUGUUGGGGAGAAUAUUGACUGAUGGAAGGCUCAGUGCAAGAGUCAAGUGCGACGUCUCUGAAAAUCUCACUCUUAAAGCCAAUGCUCAGAGGAGUCUCAAUGCACAACAUAAACAGUCGUCUUAACAUGAUGAACAAAAACAGAGAGAUAUCCCUUUAUAGACUGAAAAUGAGGGCUGUUCAGCUUUCAACAGAUCACAGCACAAGUAUUGAAGAGGAAGUGUUUAGAAUAAGAGCAGAACACCCAAAUGAUAAUCAAGCCAUAUUGAAUGAUAGAGUGAAAGGACAAUUAAAAGUCACCAGAGCAUUUGGUGCCGGAUUCCUGAAGAGGGGAGCAUGAUAACCAUAGUGAUUACGGCGUAUUUGAUGAGAACAUGGAAGGGAGCAUGAUAACCAUAGCAACUAUUUUCUGCAAUUCAGAUUUUCACUAGCAACACUUUCAGGCUGCUCUCAAGGCUGGCAAACAAACACAAGAUGGGAGAGAUGAGGAAAUCACAGCCCUUCGUGUGGAAAUUCAGGUAAUUUUUGAAGAAAGCAUGCAUUUUUUUCCAUAGUUAGAUUACUAUAUCUUGCUUUUCAGGGCUAUGCAUUGUAGCUGUUACUACAGGUUAGAUUCUUCUUCAGGGCUAUGCAUUGUAACUGUUUGUGAUUAUAUCUUGCUUAUAGAGGGUUUAACAUUGCAAUGCUUGUAACUGUUCAUUAUGUUACAGUAUUGGAUUCAUUGUUUGAAAUUUGGGGAAAGAAAGAUGGGCCUCACGUUUCCAAUUUCAUAUCAUUUGUGAAUCCUAAGGCACCUCGAUAUCUGCGCCUUGCUCAAGGGAAAUCUUGGGAUGACUUAAUAUUAGUUGAGCAUAGGAAGUUUUGCUUGCAAAUGUAAAGGUUGCAAUCAUUGGAGGAGGAUUGAUGGGCUCUGGAAUUCAAACAGCAAAAGGUUUGCUUAUACUUUAAUUUGCACUGGUGUUUUCAUGUGUGUGGUAACAUGUCUAGGACAUAUGGCAGCAGGUAGCAUGAAUGGUUAUUGUCUCUCUCAUGUUAUAUGGUGAGCAUGAUCAUGAUUUUCCUGUCCGGCCAAUGAGAGAAUUUUCUGUCCAAUUUUUCUUGAAGGUUAUUGUAGGAGAGAUCAAGCACUCCCAAGCUGCUCAUGUCACCAACUUGUGGAGGGACUUUUUCAGUGAGUUGAUUGUGGAAAAGAUCAAGUGCUUCUAAUUUCAACAGAUUCCCAAGAAAAGUUGGGAUUUCACUUGAGAGAUUGUUGUAUCUGAGGUCUAAAUUGAUCUGGAGAUUUUGAAGUUUUUCAAUUUUUGUUUUAGUAUGGAAAAUAACACAGCUUUUAGUAUAGUUGAUAGUUUUAGUAUGGUUGAAUAAUACAUUGAGGAUUAUAGUUGAUGUAUCAAUACAUUUUGUUUGUAUUUUGAAUUAUAUUGACUUGUUUGUUUAUUAUA